GUGUUGAGGAGCGGAGCUCUGCGGAAGGUCUGAUCUGUAGUUGAUUCUCCUUUCUGAGAAACGCAACUUUCAGUAUCUCUUUCUUUCUACGUGGAUUUACUUCGCACUUUCUUCGGGCACGUGCGUGCUCACCACCGUGCUCGUGCUGGUUCUGAAUGUGUGCUCAGAUUGGUGAAUUACGGAUUAAAAUGCCUUUAAAAACAAUGUAUUUAACAACUCUCCAGCUGAUCUGAAUGAGGGAGAGAGGGGGUCCUGCUUAACCCCCAAACAACACCACCUCAACCACCUGCUGCUGCUGCUACCAGGGACAAAAACAAGAGAAUGUGAAUCUUUCCGUCUCUGAGCAGUUAGAUGGACAACUCCUCGUCUCCGGCGGUUCUUCCCUCCUGCACCUACAGCGAGGACUUCAAGCGCUUCCUCCUGCCCAUCGUCUACAGCGCCGUCUUCAUCAUCGGCCUGCCGCUCAACUUCGCCGUCAUCCUGCAGAUAUGGAGCAAGCGCCGGGCGUUGAGCCGCAACAACAUCUACAUGCUGAACCUGGCGGCGGCCGACUUCCUGUACGUCUGCUCGCUGCCGCUGCUCAUCUACAACUACGCCAGCUGGGACUACUGGCCUUUCGGAGACUUCUCCUGCCGGCUGGUUCGCUUCCAGUUCUACAGCAACCUGCACGGCAGCAUCUUCUUCCUCACCUGCAUUAGCUUCCAGCGCUACCUGGGUAUCUGCCACCCGCUGGCGCAGUGGCCUAGAAAAGGGGGGCGGAGGCUGGCGUGGGUGAUCUGCGCCGGUGUAUGGCUAACCGUAGCUUUGCUCGUCGCUCCUACGUUCGAGUUCGCGGCGACCGGAGUCCAGAGGAACCGUACGGUUUGCUACGACCUCAGCGUUCCUGAGCGUUCCGCGCAGUAUUUCCCGUACGGCUUGGCUCUGACCUGCCUGGGCUUCGUUCUGCCGUUCCUGGUCAUCGUUGGGCUGUACUGCAUCAUGGCGCGGGUGCUGUGCCGCCCGGCAGAAGCUAGAGGCGUAGCGGCAGAGGAGAAGAAGAGCAAAGCCGUGAGGAUGAUCGUAAUCGUGGUCCUGGUGUUCGCCAUCAGCUUCCUGCCGUUCCACAUAACCAAAACCUCGUAUCUGCUGGUCCGGACCAUUCCCACAGCUCCCUGUGAGCUGAGGAACCUCCUGGCUGUGGUCUACAAGAGCACCCGGCCCUUCGCCAGCAUGAACAGCGUGCUGGACCCCAUUCUCUUCUACUUUACUCAACACAAGUUCAGACGAGGAACGAGAAGCCUCCUGCUGAAGAUCACCACCCUCAAGAGACAGGAGAUCAAGCAGUAGCUCGAGCCACAGCUAAAGUGCCUCUAGAGUGACAAAAAGAGACCUUUUUUGACGGGAAUCAUGGAUUGAGUGCCCACUAUGGUGCUCCAUAUUGCAAGAAAUUAUGAAGAUAUGCAUCUAGAUGAAGAAAUCAUUAUAAUGUGUCUUAAUUAGGUCUUAAUUUUGUGUUUUUCCAUUACUUUAAAAUGUUCUGCAUUGUAAAUUAAUACUAAAGUCAUCAAAAACUAUAAAGAAAAAUAUCUGGAAUCAUUUACUGAACAAAAAAAGUAGAUCACCACUCUCAAGAGACAAGAGCUCAAGCAGAAACUGAAGCAAUAGAUUGGUUACAGAUCAAGGCCACAGCUAAAGUGCCUCUAGAGUGGCAAAAAGAGACCUUUAUUGGCGAGAAACAAGUGAUUGAGUGCCCACUAUGGUGCCCCAUAUUGCAAUAAAUUAUCAAGAUGUUCCUCUAGAUGAAGAAACCCUAAUAAUGUGUCUUAAAUCAGGGCUGCACCGUAUAUUGUAAUGAAAUUUUGUGUUUUUCCAUGACUUUAAAAUGUCCUAUUGGGGUUGGUCAAUGAAACUGAAACACCUCUCAUUUUAGUGUGGGAGGUUUCAUGGCUACAUUGGAGCUGCCUGGUGUUCAAUCUUCAUUAAUUGCACAUUAAUGCACCAGUAAGAGCAGAGUGUGAAGGUUCAAUUAGCAGGGUAAGAGCACAGUUCUGCUCUAAAUAUUACAAUGCACACAACAUUAUGGGAGACAUACCAGAGUUCAAAAGAGGACAAAUUGUUGGUGCACGUCUUGCUGGCGCAUCUGUGACCAAGACAGCAAGUCUUUGUGAUGCAUCAAGAGCCACGGUAUCCAGGGUAAUGUCAACACACCACCAAGAAGGACCAACCACAUCCAACAGGAUUAACUGUGGAUGCUGUAAGAGGAAGCUGUCUGAAAGGGAUGUUCGGGUGCUAACCCGGAUUGUAUCCAAAAAACAUAAAACCACGGCUGAUCAAAUCACGGCAGAAUUCAAUGUGCACCUCAACUCUCCUGUUUCCACCAGAACUGUCCGUCACCACAAUAAAUUAUUGUGGUCUAAAACCAGGUGUUUCAGUUUCAUUGUCCAACCCCUGUAUAUUUUUGUUGUAUUUAAAAGGGUAUAAUUUGUUGUUUUGUUAUUCUGUACUAUUAUCAUUAAGUCAGUGACGUUGACAUUUUCUUAAAAUGAAAAUAAUAUCGUUUAUCGCAAUAAUUUCUGUGACGAUAUAUCGUCUACAAAAAAAAAUGCUAUCGUGGCAGGCUUAGUGUUGAUUAAUAGCGGCUGUAUUAUUGUAAUGAUGUAAGUACGUGUGUGUGUGUGUGUGUGUGUGUGUGUAGAUGUGUGGUUGUUGGCGGGCGGCGAGCUCCG